UACAGAGGGGGCAAGCGUUGUCCGGAAUUACUGGGCGUAAAGGGCGCGUAGGCGGCCUGUUAAGUCGAACGUGAAAUCCCCCGGGCUCAACCCGGGAACUGCGUCCGAUACUGGGAGGCUUGAAUCCGGGAGAGGGAUGUGGAAUUCCAGGUGUAGCGGUGAAAUGCGUAGAUAUCUGGAGGAACACCGGUGGCGAAGGCGGCAUCCUGGACCGGUAUUGACGCGUGAGGCGCGAAAGCCAGGGGAGCAAACGGG
rnacentral:rRNA from 1 species